CGGCGGACGGCUGAGUAACACGUAGGAACGUACCCCAAACUGAGGGAUAAGCACCAGAAAUGGUGUCCAAUACCGCAUGUGCUCUAAGGAGUAAAGCUUCGGCGGUUUGGGAACGGCCUGCGUAUGAUUAGAUUGUUGGUGAGGUAAUGGCUCACCAAGUCGACGAUCAUUAGCUGGUCUGAGAGGAUGACCAGCCAGACUGGAACUGAGAACGGUCCAG
rnacentral:rRNA from 1 species